GAGUGAAGAGGAUGCAGAGGACAGGGUUAGAUGGAGGCACAUGAUUCAGUGUGGCGACCCCUGAAAGGGAACAGCCGAAAGGAAAAGAAGAAGAAGUUCUCACUGUUUAUAGUGUUGUUUGAAUACUAUGUUUACUAUUUGCUAAUCUACUACAUCAGUUAGUAAAACCCCACACUAUUCUACAGCCAUUAUGUCUCAGUUAAACAGCCUUACAACCACUGAAGCGCGUCUCCGUCUUUGCCCGAGCCGGGGAUCGAACCGCUCACCUCCCGCAGCGUCUCUCCGCUCUCAUCGGACAGUCGACUGCGGAGCUGAUGCAGAAGAGUUGAGAAACUUGCGCUCCAGAGUCGACCCUCGACAAAGUAUCUGGCAUUCUUAUGAGCGAUGGAGGAAAUCUAUGUGAAUGUUGAAUCUGACAAAUCUGACUCAAAAAUGUCACAGAAUCAGACAGGUCCCAGGAGCCCAGAGAGCAGGUUUCAUGGAGCUGUUGUUCUCUUUCUGGGGCUGCUGAAUGUUUUCCUGCUGGCUUUGCUCAUCUGCCUCGGUGUCCUCUACCAUAACUCAAUACAUGGCUCAGCUGCAGAUUUCUCCACACCAACCAACCAGACUGAGCAUCUCCAGGCCAGUGAUAACAGGUCUUCUUCCCUGACUGAAGCAAGAGACCUGCUGAAUGCCAGCCUCGUUGAAAUAGCUAAAGAGUUGAAAAAGCUUGAGAAUUUGUCCAAACAGGGAGUAUUUGCAUGUGGUAUUUAGAUUUACUUGCUGUUUCUUUAAACAUUUCUUACUCAGAAUUUCAAUGAUAAAAUCACCCUGCAUUGUGUUAUGGUAUUUUUAGUAUUUACUGUAGUUUUGGCAGUAUUUGUGCAUGCAUUGCAACAUUAUUUAGUCAACCAACAAUUUAAGUUUUGAGUAUCAAACACACUCCCUGUAGAAGGUGGUAUAAAGUUUGUAGUUUGUUUCGAACUUCAUAGAGAGCAGAGGCUGCAGGCUGCUUGGAUUUGUGAUGAGUGCAGUUCACUUCAGUGGUGACUGACCAAACAUUCAUGACCAAACAAAUAUGUGGCGGUGUCUGUAUCUGCAGAGACCCUGCCCUCUGCCUGUAUUUUCAUAUUAUUUUGCUGUGUUCGGGACGUUUCAACCUGAGGUCAGGACGUAGCAAGCUGUGAAACAAUCAGAAAAUAACGUUUUAUUUAACUGAUUCACUACUUUGUUCUCGCUAAUGCCUCUCCCUCUCUUCAUUCACUCUCUAGCUCGCUCGACCACUACUUUUCUCUCGCUCUCUGCAUGGGGCCAACUUUGAAUCGUAUGAUUAUAAACUGCAACCGACAAAUCCUGCUCAUUAUGCCCUUAAAAGAAAAAAAAAUAUUGGAAGGAGACAUACAUUUAUUAUGUAUUCACCUACAGACCAUUAUGUGCCACUGAGGAACUUUGUGUAUGUCAGAGAUGUACAGAUUCAUGAUUCGCUUGUUCAUUAACCUGUUAGAGACUGGGAGGAGAAUCAGCCUGAUAAUGGUGGUGGAGAUCCACAGUGGGGUGAAGAGGACUGUGCACAUAUCAGACCUUUCACCACUAAUUGGAAUGACCUGUCAUGUACAACGUCUCUGCCAUGGAUCUGUAAGAAAAUAGCUUAACAUUGGUGUAUGUUUUGAGAUCAUAAAUGUGAUCAUGCUUAUACAUUGUAUGAUUACGCAAGGUCUUUAGUAAUAACCGUUCUUGUAUGUAGACAUGAAUAAUGUAAAAUUGGAAUUCAUCAAUCAUUAAUCAUACUGUAAAUAUGUAUUGUAUGUAUGUUACUUUGAAAACUCAUCAGUUCAUCCUAAUCCUCAAAGCCUUUUAUCAUGUAAAAUUGAAACUUUAUUUGAAAAUACAAUAAAAUCUAAAUCUUUAAGUUGCGUGUAUAAGUACAUUAUUAUGUAUUUCUAUAGUAAACAUAUAGGCUAUGUUAUAUUAGAAAGAAGUAAUUGCGUGAAAUGACAUUUUAUUACAUUACUGUACUGCAAUAAGGCUGCAAUAUAAGAAUAUUAUUACUCCAACUGAUAUUUCCAACUGAUUAGGGUCUUGACUUUACUUUUACCUGGGACCUGAUCUGUUUUGCAUCGUAACAAUAUGCUUGGUUUUAUAGAGAAUUAUAUCGUGUAUGUACUUCUCUUGGCUAUCGGGAAACUUUUGUGUUUGUGUUCCAAGCUUUCACCUGGUUCACCAGAGCACUGACAGGUUCAGCACUUCCUGGAUUAAGAUUAAAAUUGUUUUAUUAUGUGACUCAGAUGCAUAACUACUACACCUUUGUAAUAAAAACACAGGUAACUGUUAACUAUUUAACCAUUUAGAGGCACGUAGAGGCCAACUAAUGUUCUAGCAGGUAGGGCAGCCUAUAUAGCACAGCAUCACGUUUUCUCUACUGGAAGGGCACAUGGGGACACCAGGGGUGGCAGUUGCCACCAGUGUACACCAAUGAUCCAUAUGGGUUUGGUGUCUUCUGGAAAGUGAGUAUUCAGUCCCUUGCUGUGAGACCUUUUAAGGUGCCCCAAAAGUUCCUCCUAAAAAUUGGCUCAACAAAGGAUUUGUAAAACAAUGGCUGACUGUCCAAACAUGUGAGACCGAUAUGUCACGUGAAGAGCGAGGUUACUUUGGUUUUUUGUCUUUCUAAUUGGAUCGACUCCUGAUUAACAGAUUACAUUUUAAACAGCUGUGAAGAGACAUGGUAUUUUUGAUAUCACUGAUGAGUUUAUUAAUGAUGUUUUAUAUGUAUUCAAUGUAUUUCCAUCAGUAAAAUCAUGCAUUAAAGUUAUAUCCAACUAGAA